AGUAGUAUAUGGAAAGUUGAGCAAGUCCUAAGAAGGACCCAUAAGCCAAAAAUGGGCAUAAGCCCUCCAAAAGGACGAUUUAAGGAAACGUUUUCGGAUGAUCUGACUUGAAAGGGUAAAAACAGCAUUAUAAUUUUGGAAUUUGGGAAAACCACCGGAAAUAAAAGUUGUAGAUAAUUGAAAGAGCUUUCUAACCAUAGGUCGUGGGCCCUCAUACGAUAUCGGGAUCAAGAGUUAUGACCGUUUUACUGAACGAACAUCCAGUCAGAAAAUUUAACCCUGCGCGAACGCGCCCAAAGGGGGCGCGAACGCGCAGAAGGAGUUUAUAUAACCCUACGCGAUCGCGCCAGAAGGCAGCGCGAACGCGCUGAGCAUUUUUCCAGUAGUUUCUGGCAGCUUCUAAACGUUAUCAAAAGGGGGAAACCCCCCCUCAUUUUCAGUUGUAAACACGAAAAACACCCCCAAAAAACUCUCCAAAAAUCUGGAGAGUUCUCCCUAACUCUCCACCAAAUUUUUGCCCAAACCAGGUAUAAAUUCCAAAUUCCAGUCCGGGUAGCGUAUAAUUAUUGGUGCAGAAUCAUAUAACAGUGUGUGGUGGCCUAAAUUUAGCGUGGAAAAGUGGAGAUUAAGCAAUAUUAAAGGGAGAAAGACUUACAAGCUCGGACACAUAAGCGUAGCUAAUAGGACGUGGAACAGGUACACCCAGAUGAGUUGAAGCUAAUAUAGAAGAUAUUCCAGUAGAGUUGGCAAGCUCCACAUGUUCCUGGAGUGCUACCGAGUCAGAGUACAUGUGCUACGAUGUCUGAUAAAUGUUAGAGACUUUGC